AUUGAACGCUGGCGGAAUGCUUUACACAUGCAAGUCGAACGGCAGCACGGGUGCUUGCACCUGGUGGCGAGCGGCGAACGGGUGAGUAAUACAUCGGAACGUACCCAGUCGUGGGGGAUAACGUAGCGAAAGUUACGCUAAUACCGCAUACGUCCUGAGGGAGAAAGUGGGGGACCGUAAGGCCUCGCGCGAUUGGAGCGGCCGAUGUCUGAUUAGCUAGUUGGUGAGGUAAAGGCUCACCAAGGCGACGAUCAGUAGCUGGUCUGAGAGGAUGAUCAGCCACACUGGAACUGAGACACGGUCCAGACUCCUACGGGAGGCAGCAGUGGGGAAUUUUGGACAAUGGGCGAAAGCCUGAUCCAGCCAUUCCGCGUGAGUGAAGAAGGCUUUCGGGUUGUAAAGCUCUUUCGGCAGGAACGAAACGCUCUAGAUUAAUACUCUGGGGUAAUGACGGUACCUGAAGAAGAAGCACCGGCUAACUACGUGCCAGCAGCCGCAGUAA
rnacentral:rRNA from 1 species